GACGAACGCUGGCGGCGUGCCUAAUACAUGCAAGUUGAGCGCUGAAGGUUGGUACUUGUACCGACUGGAUGAGCAGCGAACGGGUGAGUAACGCGUGGGGAAUCUGCCUUUGAGCGGGGGACAACAUUUGGAAACGAAUGCUAAUACCGCAUAAAAACUUUAAACACAAGUUUUACGUUUGAAAGAUGCAAUUGCAUCACUCAAAGAUGACCCCGCGUUGUAUUAGCUAGUUGGUGAGGUAAAGGCUCACCAAGGCGAUGAUACAUAGCCGACCUGAGAGGGUGAUCGGCCACAUUGGGACUGAGACACGGCCCAAACUCCUACGGGAGGCAGCAGUAGGGAAUCUUCGGCAAUGGACGAAAGUCUGACCGAGCAACGCCGCGGGAGUGAAGAAGGUUGUCGGAUCGUAAAACUCUGUUGGUAGAGAAGAACGUUGGUGGGAGUGGAAAGCUCAUCAAGUGACGGUAACUACCCAGAAAGGGACGGCUAACUACGUG
rnacentral:rRNA from 1 species